GCGGAUGUAGCUCAGUCGGUAGAGCGCUUGCCUUCCAAGCAAGCUGUCGUGAGUUCGAAUCUCACCAUCCGCUCCA
rnacentral:tRNA from 1 species